AAUAUAUCGGAACGUGCCCAGUCGUGGGGGAUAACGUAGAGAAAUUUACGCUAAUACCGCAUACGAUCUAAGGAUGAAAGCGGGGGAUCGCAAGACCUCGCGCGAUUGGAGCGGCUGAUAUCAGAUUAGGUUGUUGGUGAGGUAAAAGCUCACCAAGCCGACGAUCUGUAGCUGGUUUGAGAGAACGACCAGCCACACUGGGACUGAGGCACGGCCCAGACUCCUACGGGAGGCAGCAGUGGGGAAUUUUGGACAAUGGGCGAAAGCCUGAUCCAGCAAUGCCGCGUGCAGGAAGAAGGCCUUCGGGUUGUAAACUGCUUUUGUACGGAACGAAACGGCUCUUUCUAAUAAAGAGGGCUAAUGACGGUACCGUAAGAAUAAGCACCGGCUAACUACGUGCCAGCAGCCGCGGUAAUACGUAGGGUGCGAGCGUUAAUCGGAAUUACUGGGCGUAAAGCGUGCGCAGGCGGUUAUGUAAGACAGUUGUGAAAUCCCCGGGCUCAACCUGGGAAUUGCAUCUGUGACUGCAUAGCUAGAGUACGGUAGAGGGGGAUGGAAUUCCGCGUGUAGCAGUGAAAUGCGUAGAUAUGCGGAGG
rnacentral:rRNA from 1 species